AUCGCUUCUCGGCUCUCUGAGCUAAGAUCAAAGUGUAGUAUCUGUUCUUAUCAGCUUAAUAUCUGAUACAACCCUCAACGAGGGUUCAGAAUAUUAAACUGAUUUUUGAAGCCAGGAGGGUGACCGGAGCUUGCUCCGACCCCUCCACGGGUCGGCCCCGCGCUGCAGUACUGCAGGGCUCGGCCCAACAGGU